AUCGAACGCUGGCGGCAUGCCUAACACAUGCAAGUCGAACGAAGCCUUCGGGCUUAGUGGCGCACGGGUGCGUAACGCGUGGGAAUCUGCCCUUGGGUUCGGAAUAACAGUUAGAAAUGACUGCUAAUACCGGAUGAUGUCUUCGGACCAAAGAUUUAUCGCCCAAGGAUGAGCCCGCGUAGGAUUAGGUAGUUGGUGGGGUAAUGGCCCACCAAGCCGACGAUCCUUAGCUGGUCUGAGAGGAUGAUCAGCCACACUGGGACUGAGACACGGCCCAGACUCCUACGGGAGGCAGCAGUGGGGAAUAUUGGACAAUGGGCGAAAGCCUGAUCCAGCAAUGCCGCGUGAGUGAUGAAGGCCUUAGGGUUGUAAAGCUCUUUUACCAGGGAUGAUAAUGACAGUACCUGAGAAUAAGCUCCGGCUAACUCCGUGCCAGCAGCCGCCGCCG
rnacentral:rRNA from 1 species